rnacentral:rRNA from 1 species
GCUGGCGGCGUGGAUAGGCAUGCAAGUCGCACGAGAAAGUUCCCUUCGGGGAGCGAGUAAAGUGGCGAAAGGGUGAGUAAUGCGUAGAUAACCUACCCUCGAGACGGGGAUAACAGCCCGAAAGGGCUGCUAAUACCGGAUAGGGCGCGGGCGGCUUCGGUUGCCCGAGCUAAAGGUGGGGACCUUCGGGCCUGCCGCUCGAGGAGGGGUCUACGUCCUAUUAGCUUGUUGGUGGGGUAACGGCCCACCAAGGUGACGAUGGGUAGCCGGCCUGAGAGGGUGUCCGGCCACACUGGGACUGAGACACUGCCCAGACUCCUACGGGAGGCUGCAGUCGAGAAUCUUCCGCAAUGGGCGAAAGCCUGACGGAGCGACGCCGCGUGGACGAUGAAGGCCUUCGGGUUGUAAAGUCCUUUCGCGCAGGAGGAAAGGCAGGGCGUUAAUAGCGUCUUGUUUGACGUUACUGUGUAAAGAAGCUCCGGCUAACUUCGUGCCAGCAGCCGCGGUAACACGAAGGGAGCGAGCGUUGUUCGGAAUCACUGGGCAUAAAGGGCACGUAGGCGGCCUGGUAAGUUGGAUGUGAAAGCCCCUGGCUCAACCAGG